UGGACCUUUAGCUCAGGUGGUUAGAGCAGACGGCUCAUAACCGUCCGGUCGUAGGUUCGAGUCCUACAAGGUCCAU
rnacentral:tRNA from 1 species